rnacentral:misc_RNA from 1 species
CCUAAAGAUAUUAGUUCGAGUGGCGUGCUCACACAGAUUGUCUGAUGAAAAAGUAACGAGCAAAAGCGUCAUAAAAGUACGGUGUCGUGUCCCCUUCGUCUAGAGGCCUAGGACACCGCCCUUUCACGGCGGUAACAGGGGUUCGAAUCCCCUAGGGGACGCCAAGCUUCCGACCCACCCGGUGAAAGCGGCGGUCUCAAGUAUCUGACGAUACACCAUAUCUUAAAGAUGACUUCCGAGUCAUGUUUAAGAUAUUGCUCUUUAACAAUCUGGAACAAGCUGAAAAUUGAAACAUGACGGCUGAAAUUUAUCCCUCCGUAGACGUAUUGGGAUAAAGAGUAACCUGUCAUAGAGUCUCUCAAAUGUUUGCAGCGCGAACGAUGGAAACAUCUUCGGGUUGUGA